rnacentral:rRNA from 1 species
GGUGUCUAUAGCGACGGAGAUCCACCUCUUCCCAUCCCGAACAGAGAAGUUAAGCCCGUCAGCGCCGAUGGUACUGCCUUUAGGUGGGAGAGU